GACGGAGGAUGCAAGCGUUAUCCGGAAUGAUUGGGCGUAAAGCGUCCGCAGGUGGCAGUUCAAGUCUGCUGUAAAAGACCGGGGCUUAACUUCGGAAAGGCAGUGGAAACUGAACAGCUAGAGUAUGGUAGGGGCAGAGGGAAUUCCUGGUGUAGCGGUGAAAUGCGUAGAGAUCAGGAAGAACAUCGGUGGCGAAGGCGCUCUGCUGGACCAUAACUGACACUCAGGGACGAAAGCUAGGGGAGCGAAUGGG
rnacentral:rRNA from 1 species